rnacentral:rRNA from 1 species
AUGAACGCUGGCGGCGUGCCUAAUACAUGCACGUCGCGCGCACAGACGAGGAGCUUGCUCCUCUGACGUUAGCGGCGGACGGGUGAGUAACACGUGGAUAACCUACCUAUAAGACUGGGAUAACUUCGGGAAACCGGAGCUAAUACCGGAUAAUAUAUUGAACCGCAUGGUUCAAUAGUGAAAGACGGUUUUGCUGUCACUUAUAGAUGGAUCCGCGCCGCAUUAGCUAGUUGGUAAGGUAACGGCUUACCAAGGCAACGAUGCGUAGCCGACCUGAGAGGGUGAUCGGCCACACUGGAACUGAGACACGGUCCAGACUCCUACGGGAGGCAGCAGUAGGGAAUCUUCCGCAAUGGGCGAAAGCUUGACGGAGCAACGCCGCGUGAGUGAUGAAGGUCUUCGGAUCGUAAAACUCUGUUAUUAGGGAAGAACAAAUGUGUAAGUAACUAUGCACGUCUUGACGGUACCUAAUCAGAAAGCCACGGCUAACUACGUG